CCUACGGGGAGCAGCAGUGAGGAAUAUUGGUCAAUGGACGAGAGUCUGAACCAGCCAAGUAGCGUGAAGGAUGACUGCCCUAUGGGUUGUAAACUUCUUUUAUAUGGGAAUAAAACGUUCCACGUGUGGGAUUUUGUAUGUACCAUAUGAAUAAGGAUUGGCUAACUCCGUGCCAGCAGCCGCGGUAAUACGGAGGAUCCGAGCGUUAUCCGGAUUUAUUGGGUUUAAAGGGAGCGUAGGUGGAUUGUUAAGUCAGUUGUGAAAGUUUGCGGCUCAACCGUAAAAUUGCAGUUGAAACUGGCAGUCUUGAGUACAGUAGAGGUGGGCGGAAUUCGUGGUGUAGCGGUGAAAUGCUUAGAUAUCACGAAGAACUCCGAUUGCGAAGGCAGUUCACUGGACUGCAACUGACACUGAGGCUCGAAAGUGUGGGUAUCAAACAGGAUUAGAUACCCUGGUAGUC
rnacentral:rRNA from 1 species